AGGGCUGAGCACUGUGGACCCACAGGGAGGAUGAGCAGAGCAGAUUGGUGCCGUGGCCCCUCCUGCCCAGGACAUGGAAGCUUCUGGCUCUGAAUUUAAACCUGAAGACAGUCGAGAUGUCAGUGACAGACAGGUGACUACUAAUUUCCAACACAGUGGGUCUUGCCCACUAAAUACUCCACAACCCCAUGGUGCCUACACCACUACGAGGAGGGAGGAUUUUCCAACACGGCUCUGCUGGCUCAGCUUUUCUCUUGGUGAAGUCAGUGACAAACCUCAGCCUGCCUCCAGGGCUCACAAUGAGCUGCUGUUGUGUGCAGCUAAACCCCCCCCCACAGUGUGAUGCACCCGGAUGCUUUGCAGGUGCAUUGUGCCUGUUGCCUAAACAAAGCCUGGUCUGAAGUAUGGAUAGGAAAUAAAUAUUUUAGCAAAGAUCUUUUGGUUGCUUUGAUGACAUUUCUUCCCAUCCCAGCUGCAUUCCUCCAUAGAGAUGUAAGAAUGAAAUGGUGGAGGGAUAUAUUGUCUAAUUUUCCCCAAGUAGUUCCUGGAGGGUUUGCAUGGUGCAGUUCUGCUCUUCCUGCUCCAGAAGGCUCUGCAGCACAUGGAGCUGCAGGGUGUCCAAAGGCAAAGUGGAAGGAGCGUUUUUGGGGCAAUUUGUUUGUAUUUGUGGGGUUUUGAGGUUUGUUUUGUUGCGGCUUUUUGGAUCACUUUGUAUUCUCCAUGCUUAGUUUCAAAUGAGCAAUAAA